ACUGCAUAAGAGAGUUUUCAUCUCUUUUUCUUGUUAAAGGUAUCUGUGCUGUGGACCACCUGGCAGGACUGGCAAGCUGAGACUUCUUAGACCCUCUGGACAUCUCCAGGCUGGAGAACCAGUGCUGCAGUGCUCUGAAUCUCAGGAGCUCAUUGAAGCAACAGCUUAACAAAGGUGAUCCACUGCGCAGACAACACUGGGACUGCUGGAACACAACACAACUGAAGGCUUCAGCACAAUAAGGUGUUAUACAGCAGCUUCAGUGCCAAACUAACUCUGCUUGACACAGUCCUGACAGUUCUUUCUAAAACUACUCUUCUCACUUCCUCUUAAUGUUCAUGGGCUGGAGAGAAAAUACCCAAACCUUAACC